UGGGUGAAGAAGGCCUUCGGGUUGUAAAGCCCUUUUGUUGGGAAAGAAAUCCAGCCGGCUAAUACCUGGUUGGGAUGACGGUACCCAAAGAAUAAGCACCGGCUAACUUCGUGCCAGCAGCCGCGGUAAUACGAAGGGUGCAAGCGUUACUCGGAAUUACUGGGCGUAAAGCGUGCGUAGGUGGUCGUUUAAGUCCGUUGUGAAAGCCCUGGGCUCAACCUGGGAACUGCAGUGGAUACUGGGCGACUAGAGUGUGGUAGAGGGUAGCGGAAUUCCUGUGUAGCAGUGAAAUGCGUAGAGAUCAGGAGGAACAUCCAUGGCGAAGGCAGCUACCUGGACCAACACUGACACUGAGGCACGAAAGCGUGGGGAGCAAACAGGAUUAGAUACCCUGGUAGUCCACGCCCUAAACGA
rnacentral:rRNA from 1 species